GGCUUCCUGGCUUAGCGGGCGGAAAAGGGGUCCCAGGAAGGCCCCAUGAACAGGUCCAGAGCAGCCUUCUCUUUCCCUCUUUCUGGGUCUCCAUGGAACAGACAGCUGAGACAAGCCUGCUAGCCUCAUUGCCUUUGCACAAGCUCUUCCCUCUGCCUGGAACACUUGUUGCUUCAGGAGUCGGCUCGAUGUAACUUCUACAGGGACCUGAGCCCCAAUCCAAGUUAGACACCUGGUUAUUGCAGCAGCCUGUAUCUCACCGUCCCAGAAUGAAUCAUGACUGCAAUGAAAACGAUGGCAUGAGCAUUUGUUACCAUCAGGCUUCCGCCCUAGAUUAUGAGCUCCCUGAGGACAAGCAGAGGGUUCAUCUCUCUUUAUAGCUAGAACCCAGCACAGCGCCUGGCACUCAGGAGGCACCCAAUUACUUUGGCUGACUGGAUAGACAUACAUACAGACGGACGGAUAAAUGGCUGGAAGAGGAGUGAUUGAAAAAAUACAUUUUAAAAUGCCCUGGCUGCAUUUCUUAGAGCAGUUAUAAUGCGCGCAAUUCACACGGGAAUUAUUUUCACCCUUUGAGGGUCCGCACCCACCGGUGCCCCAGUCGCCUUUCCCAGGCAAGGCCACUGGGCGGGGCAUCCGGGGCCGUCGGAGUGACGUAACAGCGGGGCGCGUCCGGAGCCGGCCCUCACUUCCUGAUUGGCAAGCGCGGUGGCCACACCCACCGCCGCAGCCGUCGGAGUAGAGAUGGUGGCAGCGAUGGGCGGAGGGGGAGGCCCGGCGUUCGCGCAGACGGCGGUGGGGCGGUGGGGCGGUGGGGCGGUGGGGCGGCCGCGCCGGCUUCAGGGCGUCGGGGUCUCCCGGGGCACGUUCAUGAAGCCGGCGAGGUGGAGACUGGGCGCCGAGCGGUUUGCGAGGCUCGCGCGGUUCCGGGGGGCAGUGGGACGGCGGAGGGCUCGUGCGCUGCGGCUGGACCGCUCCCCGCGGCGGGCCGGGCACAGGGUGUGACCGGGCCUCCGGGCGCUCGCUGCAGCGCGUCUAUUUCGGUGCCUCUGACCUCAGCGAGGAAAGUCCCAGAAACACAGCCCCACCCUCCCUCUCACCCUCCUUGACACGCUCGCCUCUUCCCCACCACCCCAAACUCAGACCCAGAAGAACUGCGGGAAACUAGGCGCCUGCAGACCUGGUUUCUUAGCCCUAACUCUGUGUGACCCAGAACAGGAGUCCAUGACUUGUGGACGUUAGUCCGCUUAUCUGUAAAAUGAAGCGACACCUGCGUUAGAUGAUGCGAGUGACACAAACCUCUGCUGGGAUCACUUCUUCCCUGAGCCAUCCCCUCACACCUUUUACCUGGCUAACUCCUCAUCCCUGAUCAUCAUGGAAGAGGAUGGAUCCUGACCCCUAAGGUGGGUCUCAGUUCAGCUGAGGACUGGUGAGUGACUGCUGACCUCACUCAGCGCAGCCACUCCCCUCCUUGCCUCCUUCCCUCUGCCCACGUUGAACUUUCAGCUGCUUGAAAAUACAUGUCUCUCUCGCCUCUGAGCCUUUGCACCUGUUUUUCUCUCAGACCUAAACACUCUUCCCUUCCCUAUUUAACUUGUAUUUAUCCUUCAAAAAAAAAAAAUCUCAGUUUAGGGCCAGGUGUGGUGGCUCAUGCCUGUAAUCCCAGCAUUUUGGGAAGCCAAAGUGGGCGGAUCACCUGAGGUCAGGAGUUCAAGACCAGCCUGGCCAACAUGGCAAAACCCCAUCUGUACUAAAAAUAGCAAAAAUUAGCCGAGCAUGGUGGCAUGCACCUGUAGUCCCAGCUACUCAGGAGGCUGAGGCAGGAGAAUCGCUGGAACCCAGGAGGCAGAGGUUGCAGUGAGCCGAGAUUGCACUACUGCACUCCAGCCU
rnacentral:lncRNA from 1 species